UUCCCUGUGGCUCAGUUGGUAGAGCAUGGUGUUUGCAACGCCAGCAUGGUGUGUGCAACGCCAGGGUUGUGGGUUCGAUUCCCACGGGGGUAG
rnacentral:tRNA from 1 species